CCCUUAGAUGUUCUGGGCAGCACGCGCGCUACAAUGGUCUUCGCAAACGGAUGCAUUCUCGAAGGAGAAUGCCAAGCUUGGAAUCUAUGCCUUGGUCGGGACAGUUGCUUGCAAUUUUUCGACUCGAACCAGGAAUUCCUUGUAAUCGUGAUUCAUCACAUCACGAUGAAUACGUCCCUGCCCUUUGUACACACCGCCCGUCGCUCCUACCGAUCGAAGAGUUAGGUGAAUUGUUUUGAUCGAUAAGAUUUGACUAUGGUCAACUCUCGUUGUGAAAUUCUGUGAAUCUGACUGUUUAGAGGAAGGAAAAGUCGUAACA
rnacentral:rRNA from 1 species